rnacentral:snoRNA from 1 species
AUUUAUAUGAUUAUAUUCCUGUUCUACCAUAUUACAUUUUGUCAGAAAUUUAAUAGUUUACCAAAGCCUCGAUUCUCAUGCCACAAACAGAGAGAUUCUCAAACCCAAUGAAAAU